rnacentral:lncRNA from 1 species
CUUGGGAGCUCGAGGAAUCAAUGCGGAAAGAGUAUCCGUAUUUAUUUGAGUCGACAAGUUAAGGUAUGCGUAAUUUCGCGAAUGAAAUUAUUUUAAGGGGUGGAGAAUGUAAUAUACCGAGAGAUCGGGAAAUAAAUAUCGAACUUUAAUCAAAUUGACCAAAGUGCAGGAUGGUACCCUUCGGAAAGUCCGAAGGUGUUAAAAUGAGUAAAAGUGCGUUUAAAGGGAUCUUCGAGAGCUAACGAAACAAAAAAUCUGCAAACUGCAG